rnacentral:pre_miRNA from 16 species
AACUGAAGAGAGCAUUCUGUUGACAGUUCGAUUCUGAACUCCCACUGUCAUGGAGGCGCUCUCUUCAGGUUA